rnacentral:tRNA from 1 species
GCUUGGGUGUCUCAGUCGGUUAAGUGUCUGACUUCGGCUCAGGCCAUGAUCUCAUGGUUCGUGGGUUCGAGCCCCGCAUCAGGCU